UCGCUGCUGUGACGAAUUAUGAAUAAAUUCACAUGUCAGACUUCAGAGAUUUUUUAUAAGAAUCAAUGAGAUUAAAAUUCAUAUUCUCUGAGCAGAGU